CAAAUAAUGUUACUGAUGCAGUACAAGAAUGAAAUAAUUGGUGUGGAAGACCUCCCAUGGUACGCUGCUCCGUAACCACUCAGCGGUGUAACGAGUCUCCUGGAAACUGUGAGGUGGGAGAUGGAAAUGUGUUCCAUGCACAAAUCUAGCCCCUUUCAGGCCCCCUGAUCUCUACUGGCUGCAGUACCUCCACAGCUCACCUACACUGCAGUACAAGUUUGGGCAAUGCAGCUUCACUGACCAUUUCAAGAGGAAGCAUUUCUGUGAUGAACUUAUGGUUGAAGUUCCUGACAGGACCAGUACUAAAACCAGAAGGACUUACAGCUAGAGAAAAGGCAUGGUGAGAGACAAGAGGACAGGCUGAGGCUGGCUGCAUAGCUUGAAGAUGGGGUUUCAGCAUGGGAGCAGGCACUUCCUUUGCAGUUCCUGAAACAGGAACCAUGGCUAAAGGAGGAGGACAGAGCUCAACAGAAAGAACUGUUUGAGUGGCUGUGGUAAUUUAGCCUCCCAGUCCCAGACCUGAACUUUAGCAUCCACAAUCUGGUCCUGUCCCAAACCUGGACUUUA